AACGAACGCUGGCGGCAUGCCUAAUACAUGCAAGUCGAACGAUCACUUCGGUGAUAGUGGCGCACGGGUGCGUUACGCGUGGGAAUCUGCCCUUGGGUUCGGAAUAACUUCUGGAAACGGACGCUAAUACCGGAUGAUGACGUAAGUCCAAAGAUUUAUCGCCCAAGGAUGAGCCCGCGUAGGAUUAGCUAGUUGGGGGGGUAAAGGCCCACCAAGGCGACGUUCUUUAGCUGGCCUGAGAGGCUGACCAGCCAGACUGGGACUGAGACACGGCCCAGACUCCUACGGGGGGCAGCAGUAGGGAAUAUUGGGCAAUGGGCGAAAGCCUGAUCCCGCGAUGCGGCGUGAGUGAUGAAGGCCUUAGGGUUGUAAAGCUCUUUUACCCGGGAUGAUACUGACAGUACCGGGAGAAUAAGCACCGGCUAACUCCGUGCCAGCAGCCGCUGUAAAAC
rnacentral:rRNA from 1 species